GGCCAUCGCCACAUCGAAGAAAAAUAUCAUGGCCUGUCUUCUUCCUGGUAUGUUUGUCGCCAUGCACAGCGGCCGUCCUCCCAUCUUGUUCAUCAUUGCAUGCUUUAGCCAACGACGACGUUUCGUCGUCGUCGCCUUUGAUUCCACUGGUGGUGGUGGUGGCCAUGCUGCUGCGAGAUCCAAUUCGAAAUCUUGUGUGCCACCAAAAGGCCGCCAGUCAUCGGAUGAACGGCGGCUUAAAAUAAGAUGAGAUGGUUUGAAACUGUAGUACCUGACAACACGACGGGUGGGUGGAUCGGGAGGCACCGUGAGCGGACAUGGAGAUGCUCGUCGAGCCAGCGCUGGUGGCAACGAACGCCACAAAACAGCGGGGAGAUGUGCCGAGGCGGCGUAUUGGGCAGUGGAGGGAGUCGCAGCGACGCUGCUACGGAGACGGAGGAGAGAGAGCAUCGUUGAUCGCGAGAAGAUUUGCAUCUGCAUGCAUGCUCCCGGUCGUCGCGAGUUCCGACUGAGCGGAAUGCGAGGCGGCGCUGGGUGGGAUUAGGGAAAAAGCAUAUCCUCCGCCGUCCAAAUUCCAAUCGCGCAUUCAGUUCGCUGUCCACAAGCCACAAACAACGAUGCGGCCGGAGGCCCAUUCUACAUGGGCUGUUUGUUUGAGUAACUUCAUCAAAAAUGAGUUGAUACAUCAUGUGCCUCGACUGUUAGUGAAAAUCGAUUUUCACUAGUGGUUUUUAUCUCAACCACCAGUGAAAAUCGAUUUACACUCAGUUACCGCUUGUAAAAAAUAAUUAUUUCUGUUGGCUUCUAUUAUUGAUAGUUCUGAAAAAAUAACAGUACAAAUAAGUUCAGAACUGCCUAUAUAGAGCUUCUACUGGUGAUAUUUGGUUUUGGUCGUGUUCAAGUUCAAAAACUCAGGCCAAACGUUUCUGAGCUAUUGCCUUCAUGACGAACUCCAACUUCUACCUUUGGGCCAUAACAAGUUGUUUAUCAACAACAUGUGAAAGUGAGGUAACAACAUUGCAAUGUCAAUCAAAUUUUUGAGACUUAGAAUUAUUUCAUAGAAGCUUAUUUUUAUUACUUCAUUCAAAUUUGAGGUCUCUAUUUAAGCUACUUAGGAGCUAAGUCAAGGUGUGGUCCAAAAACAAAGUUUAUUUUAUCAACUUGUUCUACAACUUUUAUUUUUGGUCAAACUCUAAAAUUGGAAAAACCUUAAAGAUAUAGAUUGGUCAAAGCAACAUGUGGAAAAGGGUUAAAACUAGAGUUUUAGCCGUUUUAACCACUUUCUCCACAUUUUUCAAACAAUAACUCUGACUAACUUUUGUUCAAGAGUUAAUUUAGAGUUGUUUGAGAAUGAAUGCAAGGUUUCAUUGACACCACAUGUUUCAACUUUAUUAACAAAAGCAUUUCAAACAAGGUUAUAACAUGUCAUUUCAUGUGAUUAAGUGAUUCUAAACUUUAUGAAACUUCUCAUAUGAGCGAGAUAGAUGCAUGUUGACGUGAUGCACAUAAAAGAGAACUGAUUAACAUUACUCAUGCAUAUUUUGGAAAAAGGUUACAUUUAAACUAAAAGUUUAAGUUGUAUUUAAAAGUUUAAGUUGCGUUGCAUUUUUGGAAAGGUUCACACCACCUCAUUCACAUAACUUUCCCAUGUUUCACACUAGAGCUCAUGAUCACCACUUGACAUACCUUGUUCAAGUUCAAAUCCAUUGCUUAGCCUAUGACUAACACAUAGGGUGAUCACCACUUGACAUACCUUAUUCACCAAUAUAGAGUGCAACAUGGGCCUAAAAGGACAUGACAAGUCAUUCAUAGCCAAAGAAUGUUGAGCUUGGGUUUUGACUUGGAGAUUAUUAGUGAAAUAAAGUCCGAGUUCCAAAUAUGAUGAGAUGAUUCAAGGGCUUAUGGGAGGGUUGAGGAGGGUUUAGUGAGAGUCUUGGAGAUCGAGGGGCGUGUUCGAAAAGUCAUAGUUUGAACAACCAUUGAGUUGUUACAACUUGCAUAUCUCAUAAUCAAGAGGCCUAAGAGAGAAGCAUAAGUCAGGUAUAAUGCCUUCACUCCCUUAUAGACAAGGGACCAUAGGGUGCUGGAGUCAGCACACAAACACCCAAACCAUGUUAGUGGUGCUACGGCCAUCACCAUCCCAAUGACACCUGACAAAACUCACCAUGGGAAACAUAUAUAUUUCACUCAACAAAGUGUUAUUAGAACGUUGUAACGCCCUGAAUUGGGGGUAUAAACUUUUGUCUCCAAUAUUCACCAAAUUCAGGCGUUCCUCUCUUUUUCUCUUCAUGUUUCGCUCCUUCCUCCUAUUUUCAAAGCAAUAUAGAGAAUGGUGUCCGUAUCGCAUGUCACCAGAACCUAUGUUGGUAUUGUUGUUGCAUCAUGCCAGAGCAUAUUUAUUUUGUCUGAUGUUGUGCCUAGGCGUGCGUUUGUCUAGUUUUUGUUUUUGAUUCGCGGAUGGAUCUUGAUUAGAAGCAGGCGGGGUCGAGUAGAGGGAAGUCGGUCUGGCCCACGGCCCAGCCUGGCCCGCGGCGCGGCCUGGCCUAGCCCUGAGAGCGCGCCCAGGCGCCCCUGUCCCCUCCUAUAACAGCCUGAAUUUGGGGGUAUCAAAUUUCUUCUCUAAAUGCCUACCAAAUUCAGCUGUUACCUCUUGUCUCUUUCUCUAGACUUCCUCUCUCUUCCUUUUGAUUAGAGUUAAGUCAAUUAGGUGAGGGAUUAAUUAUUUAUUUUAUCAAAACCAAUAUGAGUCAUGAAAUGUUGCAUCAUGAUGAACCUAAAUUAUUCUUUUGUUUGAUGCACAUGUGUAAAAUAGGUUUAAAUUUGAAUUUGGUUUGAUUUUGAUUUGAAAUCCAUAGAGAAAAUAAAAAGAAAAGCCAUUGGAAAUUCCAGGAAAAAGAAAAGCGCAAAGGAGCCCAGCCGCCCCCUAUUUCGGUCUUUCGGACCAUUUAGCCCGCAAUCGCGCCCCGCCUCUCCCCUUCCCCGCACUCGCUGCCAUGUGGGCCCGCCCUAUUGGCACCGUCGCGCGCCCGUGCGCGCCUCCUCGCUCUCCUGCCGUGGAGGGCCCGCCUGCCAGGCGCCUCGCUCGCGCGCGCGUCCGCUGACCAGCUGGUUCCACCUGUCAGCUCCCCCUUCCUCGCCACAACCACCCUCUACGCCCGCCGUGCCCACGUCUACAUGGAUUGUGGCCACGACCAUGAGCCGGGGCAUAACCCCCCUGACGGUCAACCCCUCCCCCUGCUCGCCUCAUUUCGCCAUAGCACCCAGCCAACCCCUCUCCCCUGCGCUCGCCAUGCCUCGCCGAAGUUUACCGAGGAGCACCGUCGUCCGCGCGUUCAUCGAGCCGCGGGGCCACCAAAGCCACCAUCUGUGUGCUUGCCGUGUCCGGAACGCCGUCGCCCUUCUGUUGAGUUGCUCGGCCGAGCUACAUAGUGGGUGAGAACCGCCAAUCCUCCCAUCCCUUCUCUGCCAUCAUCGGUGUGUGCCUAGGGGCCCUGUCGCGCAGAAGACGCGAGCUCCCCGAGCAACCCCCACCGGCUGACCCGCCCUCGGCCCUCGCCAUUCGCCGAUUCCGGCCAUGGCACUCCGCGCCGUGCGCGGGCGGGAGGAAGACGAAGGUCCCGACACCCGGGGCCCUCGGGUCAGCCUCUCCCGCGCCGCCACUCUCUUUUCCCCUCUGAGGCUCUGACGAGCAGACACCACCCUACAGGAUGUGCCCGCGCCCCACCCUUCGCCGCUAUCCGGUGGAGCCCCAUGGCCCCAUGUGUGAGCACCGCGCGCCCCGCAACGAACCUGUCACUAACCAGCGGGCCCCGUUCCGCUGGGGCCCUCCUGUCAGUCCGACCUGCACCCAAACCACCCACCAGAUCCACUGACUCAUGGACCUGAUGUGUCGAUGUCUCGCCUCACCUUGGGUCCACCUGUCAGGCGCCCGCGUCCCACACACUCGUGCCCUCGCUCGCUGUUUCUAAUCUGGUCCUUCGAUCGGAGAUCGGACGGCUAGCACAACCUCGUACCCCUUCGCGCGGUAGAUUUGCUAAAGAAACCCUCGGUUUUGUAAGAAUCAACUCGUCGUCCCUCAGUUUCGCGCGCAUGCCCUUGUAAUUUUUCAGAAAGAACCCUAACAUUUUAGUUAAUUGUAGAAUUAGACCUAGUUUUGUAUUUUGAAUUCCAAAACUUGUUUAUUUCAUAUCUUUUGCAUAUGAACUCCAAAUUGAGCGAUUCAAAUUGAAAAAUGUUCAUAAAAUUAUUCUCUAUCUGUUUAAAUUAUAAUUAUUCACUAUAUGCACUUAUUAGUUUUAUACAUAAGACUAUAGACUAGUAUUAGAGAUGGUUUGUUUAUUAAAAAGAAAACCCUAAUGGUACUUAGAUGAUUAAAGUUGUGAGUUUAAUAUCAUAUGAACCCAUCCCUAGUAUAAUUUUGGUGAUCCAUUAAGAUAAAUGAAUUUAAUUCAUGUGAUCCCCGAGAUAGGCGGUACUUAGAGAGUCACGAACCUCUAGGUGUAUUAGUCCACCCUAGAACCUAAGCCUAUCUCUUGUGUUUAUACUGUUCUUUCGAGCUUGUGUUCACUUGUUUGAACAUGUUUGGUGUAUAGUUCAUUUGUCUUUAUCCAAAUGUAUUGAAUGCAUGAUCGUUUUGUUUAGACAACGAGCAGCCCGUGGUUCCUGAGUGUGUUGCUAAAGAUCUUCCUCAGCAACAACCUGGUGAAGGCAAGUGUCCUCUGACCCAUUAUGUCCAACUUAAUUUAUAAUUCACCGUCCCGCAUUACUUUAUUGAAAUCUAAGGAUUGAGUAAUCUGUAUUUACCUUGUCCUUGUUACCUUUUGGGUUAUUUUGGUUGGCUCUAUGCUAUUGCUUUACUUUAAUCAACGAACAUGAUGUGAAUAUUUAUGAUACGAUGAUAUUAUCCCGAUGAUGAUCUUGUCAUACUUUACGGGACUCAGGCGAUUUCCUGAGUACCUCUCUGUAAGGACCUGUUCGUUGAGUGACCACUCGGGAUAACAGUACCACCAAGAGGGUGGAAUGGGACACCCUUAGCUGAUUAAUUAGAGGAACUUGAGGUAUAGUCGGCUUUGUCGUAGGGCCGUCAAUGGGGUCCAGGCAUAAUACUUGCUCUGCCAAGGCUGGUUGCCGAGGUUCUUUCGAUUUGGUUUUGUUAGUCACCCUUCCUGUGGGGACAAGUAUUGUGUUUAUCAAACUAGAGAAACCUAACGGGCGACUAUGACCUCUGGGGAAUCUUUGUAAAGGCUAUGUAGUGACACCCUUCUAGGUCACCUUGGUAGUGAUCAAUGGGGAGUCAUGGUCCCCGGGUAGAACGGGAAUCACGACUCAUGGGUAAAGUGUGCAACCUCUGCAGAGUGUUAGAAACUGGUAUAUCAGUCGUGCUCACGGUAAGAGCAGCCUUGGGAUCAUCUUUGAUUAGAAGAACUUUGGAUACUUUAUGUUGAUGAUUACAACUUUGAUCUCUGGUAUUUCCUCUUGGAGGGAGUACAUCUGGGUAAUAACCGGGUUUAUUACUAAAACUUGGCUCUACUAUUAGUAAUAAAUAUUUUACCAACUAAAAGCAACUAAUUUAACCUUAACUCCACAUACAGCUAGUCCACUUUAGCCAAACAGGACAUUUGCUGAGUACGUUGAUAUGAACUCACCCUUGCUUUAAAAACCACCCCACCCCAGGUUGUCCCCACUGUAAUCAGUGCUCAGGAGGAGAUGCAAGCAAACAUGGAGGACUUUGAGGAGUUCCAGGACUACGAUGAGUUCUAGUGGUGUUAGUGGCAAACCCCCAGUCAGCUACCUGUGAAGGCCUUAUCUGCUACGUUUUGUUUUCCGCACUUUGAUCCCGUUAAAUGACUAUGUUAUGUUUAUGACUUUAUGGAUGUCUUGGACAUCUUGAUGUAGUAAAGUACCUU
rnacentral:lncRNA from 1 species